rnacentral:rRNA from 1 species
GAUGAACGCUGACAGAAUGCUUAACACAUGCAAGUCGAUUCGAUUUACCUUCGGGUAUUGAGGAUGGCGGACGGGUGAGUAACGCGUAAGGAACUUGCCUCUUGGUCUGGGACAACUGUUGGAAACGACAGCUAAUACCGGAUAUUAUGAGAUUCUCGCAUGGGAAACUUAUGAAAGCUAUAUGCGCCAAGAGAGAGCCUUGCGUUCCAUUAGCUAGUUGGUGGGGNAACGGCCCACCNNGGCGACGAUGGAUAGCCGGCCUGAGAGGGUGAACGGCCACNAGGGGACUGAGACACGGCCCUUACUCCUACNGGAGGCAGCAGUGGGGAAUAUUGGACAAUGGACCANAAGUCUGAUCCAGCAAUUCUGUGUGCACGAUGAAGGUCUUCGGAUUGUAAAGUGCUUUCNGUUGGNAAGAAGCAAGUGACGGUACCAACAGAAGAAGCGACGGCUAAAUACGUGCCAGCAGCNGCGGUAAUACGUAUGUCGCAAGCGUUAUCCGGAUUUNUUGNNCGUAAAGCGCGUCUAGNCGGAAAAAUAAGUCUGAUGUUAAAAUGCNGGGCUCAACUCCGUAUUGCGUUG